AGGCUGGAGUGCAGUGGCGCGAUCUCGGCUCACUGCAAGCUCUGCCUCCCGGGUUCACGCCAUUCAGGUGAUGAUGUUUUUUAUUUAUGUGCCCACCUGCCCCACUCCGUAGGGCCCCUCGAGGCCAGGACUGCACCGUUCAUCUCGGAAUUCGCUUGUUCCUAACUUAGGGGAGUGGCGCCGAGACACCGUGUAGCGCCCAUGCCAAGGAGGAAGCGAGACAGCAGGAGCGGAGGAAAGAACCCCGGGCUGUGUUGAGGAAGCCUCCUACUUUUGCCUGAAGUGAGCCACCCAGGACUUUGUGACCACAGCCCUAGCAAACGAAUACGCCGCAUUUCACAGGGCCCUACAGACAGGAGAUGGGAUCUAAGGGAAUUAACCUACUUGCAAGCAGAAAUGAAAGGGAAAGAGAAAAUCCAGAAAUGUUGGAUUUGCAGGAUUGAAAAAGGCAACUAUUCCUCAUCUCGGUCCAAUGAAAGAGCAACUAAGUGAGUGCUCCAGGCGCCCAGUGCCCAAAGGUCCAUAGUCCGUGGGAGGAUCCAGACACUGUCACGUGCAGGAGGCCACCUGUGCUGCAGGAGGCUGAGCUUGGGUGCUGUGCCCCCAGCUGGGAGAAGGCUGGGGUGGGCCAGGGAAGCUGUGCUUGGGCACGAACCACUUAUCCCCGAGUUGGAAAAAGGUGCGAUCCAAUUCUCCACCCCAUCCUGCCAGUUCAUCACCCAGACAACCUAGAGUGAGCACCCAGGGCCAUUUUUGGAAAAUCCUGCUCUUUUGCAUAAUAAGUGGGCAAAACAGACACAGUCCCUGCCCCUCUGGCAGUUUGUCGCUUCUGCAAGACUCAAGUGCCAAAUGACAUUUUAGAAAAAAUUUCUGACAUAUUUGUGCUUGGAACACACAAUAUGAUCUUGGAGCAGAUAA
ensembl:lncRNA novel transcript